rnacentral:rRNA from 1 species
UACGUAGGGUGCAAGCGUUGUCCGGAAUUAUUGGGCGUAAAGAGCUCGUAGGCGGCUUGUCGCGUCGGCUGUGAAAACCUGGGGCUCAACCCCGGGCCUGCAGCCGAUACGGGCAAGCUUGAAUUCGGUAGGGGAGACUGGAAUUCCUGGUGUAGCGGUGAAAUGCGCAGAUAUCAGGAGGAACACCGGUGGCGAAGGCGGGUCUCUGGGCAGUAACUGACGCUGAGGAGCGAAAGCGUGGGGAGCGAACAGG